AUUGAACGCUGGCGGCAUGCCUUACACAUGCAAGUCGAACGGUAACGGGCCUUCGGGUGCCGACGAGUGGCGAACGGGUGAGUAAUACAUCGGAACGUGCCCGAUCGUGGGGGAUAACGAGGCGAAAGCUUUGCUAAUACCGCAUACGAUCUACGGAUGAAAGCAGGGGACCGCAAGGCCUUGCGCGGACGGAGCGGCCGAUGGCAGAUUAGGUAGUUGGUGGGAUAAAAGCUUACCAAGCCGACGAUCUGUAGCUGGUCUGAGAGGAUGAUCAGCCACACUGGGACUGAGACACGGCCCAG
rnacentral:rRNA from 1 species